rnacentral:rRNA from 1 species
UACGUAGGUGGCAAGCGUUGUCCGGAAUUAUUGGGCGUAAAGCGCGCGCAGGUGGUUUCUUAAGUCUGAUGUGAAAGCCCACGGCUCAACCGUGGAGGGUCAUUGGAAACUGGGGAACUUGAGUGCAGGAGAGAAGAGUGGAAUUCCACGUGUAGCGGUGAAAUGCGUAGAGAUGUGGAGGAACACCAGUGGCGAAGGCGACUCUUUGGCCUGUGAACUGACACUGGAGGCGCGAAAGCGUGGGGAG